UACGUAGGGUGCAAGCGUUGUCCGGAAUUAUUGGGCGUAAAGAGCUCGUAGGCGGUUUGUCGCGUCUGCUGUGAAAACUCAGGGCUUAACCCUGAGCCUGCAGUGGGUACGGGCAGACUAGAGUGUGGUAGGGGAGAUCGGAAUUCCUGGUGUAGCGGUGGAAUGCGCAGAUAUCAGGAGGAACACCGGUGGUGAAGGCGGAUCUCUGGGCCAUAACUGACGCUGAGGAGCGAAAGCAUGGGGAGCGAACAGG
rnacentral:rRNA from 1 species